rnacentral:rRNA from 1 species
AAAUUGAAGAGUUUGAUCAUGGCUCAGAUUGAACGCUGGCGGCAGGCCUAACACAUGCAAGUCGAACGGUAACAGGAAGAAGCUUGCUUCUUUGCUGACGAGUGGCGGACGGGUGAGUAAUGUCUGGGAAACUGCCUGAUGGAGGGGGAUAACUACUGGAAACGGUAGCUAAUACCGCAUAACGUCGCAAGACCAAAGAGGGGGACCUUCGGGCCUCUUGCCAUCGGAUGUGCCCAGAUGGGAUUAGCUAGUAGGUGGGGUAACGGCUCACCUAGGCGACGAUCCCUAGCUGGUCUGAGAGGAUGACCAGCCACACUGGAACUGAGACACGGUCCAGACUCCUACGGGAGGCAGCAGUGGGGAAUAUUGCACAAUGGGCGCAAGCCUGAUGCAGCCAUGCCGCGUGUAUGAAGAAGGCCUUCGGGUUGUAAAGUACUUUCAGCGGGGAGGAAGGGAGUAAAGUUAAUA